rnacentral:rRNA from 1 species
CAGCCCCUCGAGUGGUGGGGAUGAUUAUUUGGCCUAAAGCGUCCGUAGCCGGCCGUGUAAGUCCCCCGUUAAAUCCAGCGUCUCAAGCGUUGGACUGCGGGAGAUACUGCUCGGCUAGAGAGUAGGAGAGGUGUGCGGUAUUCUGGGGGUAGGGGCGAAAUCCUUUGAUCCCCGGAGGACCACCAGUGGCGAAGGCUGCACACUAGAACACGUCUGACGGUCAGGGACGAAAGCUGGGGUAGCGAACCGGAUUAGAUACCCGAGUAGUCC